UGUCUUGUAGGUAUAAGUUUGCACCUUCGGCUUCAGGCCGAAUUGUUCUUGCAUCACCUCCGCGAUUUGCGCCGUCCAAUCUGGUUGUUGUUGGGGAAUAAUUGGCGGCGGAAUCGGCACAUGUUGAUAAAUCGGAGGUUGAAUAAAAGGAGGUUGAUGAAAAGGUGGUAUCUGAGUAUAAACCGGUGGUGUAGUAAAGGACGGUUGCUUGUAGGCACCACUCGUUUCAUCAUAUAGCAUGAGCUCUGAUGUCUUGUUGACCUCCGGAGCGAUAGGUUGGUAUGGUGGUAUGAUCGGCCGAGUGGCCGUUUGGGAGGGUGUCUGGAACGGAGGAUUUCCUUGGCUGACCGAUUGAUUCAAACCGGUCGUGUUUAAGGGUGCCCCCCAGGGUAAGGGGAUGACUGGAGGGAGUGGUGCAGUGGACGGCUGGAUGGAGCCGUAUCCCAAAGGAGUUGAUGACGUAGAAGCACCAGAUCCUCCGACAGAGGAUUGGAUCGGCUGUGAAGCCUGAUAAGCCUGAUUUGGUGGAAUCGGCUGAAAAUACGUAGGCCCCCUGUACCCUUGUGGUAUACCUCCGGCGAAGGAGUUGACAAC
rnacentral:lncRNA from 1 species